GUAGGUGGCAAGCGUUGUCCGGGAAUUAUUGGGGCGUAAAGCGCGCGCAGGCGGUUCCUUAAGUCUGAUGUGAAAGCCCACGGGCUCAACCGUGGAGGGUCAUUGGAAACUGGAGAACUUGAGUACAGAAGAGGAAAGCGGAAUUCCACGUGUAGCGGUGAAAUGCGUAGAGAUGUGGAGGAACACCAGUGGCGAAGGCGGCUUUCUGGUCUGUAACUGACGCUGAGGCGCGAAAGCGUGGGGAGCAAACAGGAUUAGAUACCCUGGUAGUCCACGCCGUAAACGAUGAGUGCUAAGUGUUAGGGGGUUUCCGCCCCUUAGUGCUGCAGCUAACGCAUUAAGCACUCCGCCUGGGGAGUACGGCCGCAAAGGCUGA
rnacentral:rRNA from 1 species